AAGUCUUUGGGUUCUGGGGGGAGUAUGGUCNCAANGCUGAAACUUNAAGGAAUUGANGGAAGGGCACACCAGGAGUAAACACGCUAACAAGCCUAGCCGCAGUAGCUCUGCUCCGAACAGCAGCCUGAAAGGGUGAGGUGGUUUCAGCCCGGGGUGGUUUUCAAAGCCAUCCCAAAUCUAAAUGCUAGUCCGCCUCCGGGUGGGCGACACCUUCAAAUUGACGGGGAACUCCUAAAGCUCGGUGCACCAAGCCCCAUAAUAUCCGAAAGGGUGGGGUGGCCAGGUUAAUAGCCUCGGGUACGGUAAAAGCCACUGAGAUGUUACAAUGGACAAUCCGCAGCCAAGGCCCUACGUCGCCCUUCGGGGCGAUACGGGACAGGUUCAGAGACUAGAUGGAGGUGGGUCGUUGCAACAUACGGCUUAAGGUAUAGUCCGUCUGCACACGAAAAUGUGCAGGUUGGUUGCCCAUAANCGGAGCU
rnacentral:rRNA from 1 species